AUUUUGACUGUGGAGAAGGGGGCUCUGGUAAAGUAUCUUGAUCAUCUCUUAGGGUAUGGGAUUGUGAGGAAUUACUCUCUUUUCACCCAAAGGAAUUGGAAUGAGCAUCUGAAGUCAAAACUGCCUCUCCUCUACAGCAGAAUUCCCGUACUGAUUAGUCAACAGUGGAAAAUCUGAAGAGAUGCAAGCAGGAAAAAGAAAUUAAACCAGGCCUGAGGAGCGAUGCGACAGGCAUGAUGGAGGUCGAGUCCUCCUACUCGGACUUCAUCUCCUGUGACCGGACAGGCCGUCGGAAUGCAGUCCCUGACAUCCAGGGAGACUCAGAGGCUGUGAGCGUGAGGAAGCUGGCUGGAGACAUGGGCGAGCUGGCACUCGAGGGGGCAGGUUAGAGCCAGCAGGUCCUUGGCACUACUGCAUGCCAGAGGCCCUCUGCCGGGCCCCGGC
rnacentral:sRNA from 1 species